rnacentral:rRNA from 1 species
AACGAACGUUAGCGGCGCGCUUAACACAUGCAAGUCGAGCGAGAAAGGGCUUCGGCCCCGGUAAAGCGGCGCACGGGUGAGUAACACGUGGGUAAUCUGCCCUCGAGUGGUGGAUAACUCCCCGAAAGGGGAGCUAAUACAGCAUAAGACCACGACUCUCCGGAGUUGGGGUCAAAGCGGGCCUCUCCAUGGAAGCUCGCGCUUGAGGAUGAGCCUGCGGCCCAUCAGCUUGUUGGUGGUGUAAAAGACCACCAAGGCGAAGACGGGUAGCUGGUCUGAGAGGAUGAACAGCCACACUGGAACUGAGACACGGUCCAGACUCCUACGGGAGGCAGCAGUGGGGAAUCUUGCGCAAUGGGCGAAAGCCUGACGCAGCGACGCCGCGUGAGCGAUGAAGGCCUUCGGGUUGUAAAGCUCUGUGGAGAGGGACGAAUAAGGGCUGGCGAAUACCCAGCCUGAUGACGGUACCUCUUUAGCAAGCACCGGCUAACUCUGUG